CUUUCGUUGUCAACAAUGGAUAAGGACGCCAACAAGACAAACCAAGAUCUACGAUGUGUAGUUUGUGACUCUAAAGAAAACCUGAAGCGGUGUACCCGAUGCAAGGGAGUUGUGUAUUGCUGUCGCCAGCAUCAGAUACAAGACUGGCCUUCCCACAAGGUUGCGUGCACACCUACCCAACGUACAGAACCGAAAAAGAAAGUAGUCGAGGUCACGACAGACACGUGCGAGUCAAAUAAAAACAACGCUUCCAAAUUAGAAAUUAGCCCAAAUGAUGUUACUGGUAAUAACACUGAUGUUACAGAAUUUGAUGCCCGUCCAUUUAGAGAUGUCAUCUUUAAGAAACCGAGAUCUUAUGAUGUUGAUUCUCUUGCGGAAUUUGUGAUUCGUUACUUAAACAAGAACAAUUUCUGUGUUGUGGAUGGUGUUUUCUCCAAUAAACAUUUGCAGAAAGUGUUGAAUGAAAUAAAAAGCCUGAACUCGAACGGCUAUUUGAAGGUGGGACGUUUAUCAGGGGGCAGAACGAGUGGACAGGACGCAUUCAAAUUGACCAAGACAGAAGUGAGAAAUGACACCAUAUACUGGGCGGAGGGCACGGAGUCUCGGCACCCAAACGUCAACAAGGUUGUCCAGAAAAUGGAUUCAGUUUUAUCAGCACUCAACAGUCACCUUCAGGGGGAAUAUUAUAUCAACGGUAGAACAAAGAUUCAGAGAAGAUGCUAGACGAUUUUUCCAGGUUAUACUUGUACAGCCACGUGCACUGCUUCAGAGAUGCACGUCUGACUUUACAGCUCGAAAAGAAGAACGCAAAGAAAAAAUAUACAUAGUUUAGAAAAACAAUUUCAUUUUUUUUUUAAAUCAAAAUUGCGCAUAAAUAUUCAAGACUCUUUCGUUUUUGUGAAUUUCUACUCACAGGCCAUGGUUGCGUGUUACCCUGGUAAUGGUUCUUACUACCGACGUCACGUGGACAAUCCCAACGGCGAUGGACGUGUAAUCACGUGCAUUCUGUAUUUAAACAAGGAUUGGAAUGCAAAGGAAGACGGUGGAAUACUGCGCAUCUUCUCAGCGCAAGAUGAAAGUUGCUAUGUUGACGUCAGUCCUGAGUAUAACCGGAUGUUGUUCUUCUGGUCCGACAGACGGAAUCCCCAUGAGGUUCAGCCAGCGUUCAGAACGAGGUUGUCAGGGUCUUUUCAUUGAUAUUAAUUAUGGGCCAUAUUUAACUAUAUAUAUAUUUAAAAAACCCAGUUUGAUUUAUAGAUUUAUUGAUCAAUAUAGAAGCCAUUUUAUGACGUUAUAUCUUACCCCCUCGUAGACUUAUUUUAUAUAAACCCGAGAAGAGGCUUGUGUAGGAUCAAAUUUAUCUUGCAUAUUUAAUAACUUUGUUUUGUAGUUAUUUUCUGUUAAAUUUAUUAAAGUUAUUUGAAGAUGCUCCUUUAUUUUCGGUACACAUUACAAGUAACAAAUGUGCGUGUGCUUCCAAUUAUACUAGAAACAGAAAUCCCGGCGCAUGGUUUAAAUGCCACUAAAUGUUCCAUCUUAGAUCUCGAUUUUCAAAAUUAAUCUCGUUUCAGCAUGCAAACUUGAAAUAAAUUUUUCCUUCAAAGUAGAUUUAUAUGACUCCUUAAACGUUUUUCAAAAUCUAUCUUCAAAAUAUCUCUUUACAGUGUAAUUAAGCACUUGAAAAAAUGUGUUAUUAUUUUAUUAUUGAACUCAUCCCAGACAGGUGCGAACACGGGGAAAUUUCUAAGCGUCAAGAUUUAUGGUCUUGAAUUUGUAAUAAGUUUUUGAAAACUGUGAAAACAACCGUUUUAGGUAUGCGAUUACAGUUUGGUUUUUCGACAAAACUGAAAGAGAAAGAGCAAAAGAAGAGUCCGCGUUAGAAGGUAUCUCAACAAUGAAAAAUGAACUGGUGGUUUUAGAUUUAGAAAGAAUAGAGAAUGAAAAGACUCAAUUGGAGAAGAAGAUAGAACAAGAAGCGAAGAAGGCCAUCGAGUCCUUAACCCAGGGAGAAUUGCAGGCUCUGGCUGACUUGGUGAAAGGUCACGAGGAACCAAAAGUGGUGCUGACUCAAAUGGGAAUAUCGCCCUCCAUUCAAGACCCCUUACUGAAGGUGCUGGAGGGUUUGUGAAUCUAUACUGCAGGCUGUGUACUGCCGUGCUUGCUUUGAACUGCAGUAUAUGUAAUGUACUCAGCAACUACUAUCUAGAUUUUAUACAGACUCUGAGAUUUUGCAUCAUUUGUUUAUGUGUGUACUCGAUUAUUUAUGCAUUGUUUGUUCGACUUAUUUCCAUUAUUAAUAAACAGAAUCUCAUAUUUUAUUAA
rnacentral:misc_RNA from 1 species